UUUCCGUAGGUGAACCUGCGGAAGGAUCAUUAUCCAUCUUCAACCAGGUGCGGUCGCGGCCUCCAGGCAACUGGGUGGUUUCGCGCCGCAUUCCUGCAUCCUUUUUUUACGAGCACCUUUCGUUCUCCUUCGGCGGGGCAACCUGCCGUUGGAACCGAAUAAACUCUUUUUGCAUCUAGCAUUACCUGUUCCGAAACAAACAAUCGUUACAACUUUCAACAAUGGAUCUCUUGGCUCUGGCAUCGAUGAAGAACGCAGC
rnacentral:misc_RNA from 1 species